UCUUUCACCCGAUAAAAAUCCCGUCGAAGAGACCUAGGGCUUUUUCUCGUUUCCCACUUCCGCCGCCUCCUCUCCUCGACGGAGCAACGCCGCUCCCCACUUCCGCCGCCUCUCCUUCUCGCCGACCUUCUCGCCGUCGUUUCCCUCCUCUUGUCGGUUCCUCACUUUCGCCGCCUCUCCUUCACUUUCCCUCGUCCGUCAGCCCCUUGUUCGUCGACUUCAAGGUCGUCCCUCUCUAGCAUCCAGUGAUUGGAAACUGGUGGAGAUUUACAAGAUUUCAUCUUCAUGAGACCUUUGCACCUUAGAAUAAGGCUUGACUGCCUUGAUCACCCUAAGGCCACUACCCAGAAAGAGAUAAUCUCGACUGACACGACCUUAGAGGCACAGUCAAAGUAGACCGAGCUUGGAAGAGUCCCAGAACAGGUUAUUUUUAUCAGAUGUUCGACACAUGGUGGAGGAGAUACAAGCUUUUAAUUGUAGACUUGGGGAAACUGAAGCCAUUGUCGAGGAUUACUUGAAGCCAAUUGACGAGAAUGCUCACAUAUCUAUGGUUCACAUAACUUGACAAAUAAGAAAAACAAAUGAAGGAGAUGAUUAAAGCAAUGCAAGAGCAGGCAAUACAUAACAAAAGAGAUGGCACAGGAAAAUUGAUGGUGGCUGAAACAGGAUAUUCCACGCGUGCUUUUGAUCACUUACAACGAGAUUAGCUCUAUCGAGACAAUUUAUAAAUUAUGUAUAGCAAUGCAGACCUUUAAACAGAAGACAUUUUUUGUUUUAAUGAAAGAGGAAUUUUAGUCAUGUACUUUGGACAAAAGAAAAAACUUGUACUAAAGUCAUUGUAAUGAACCAAUGAAUUGUCCCUUAUGUUUGGUUGGUAAUUUGCUUGCAAAAUUUA